CAGGAAUAUCUAUAAAUUUCUCUGUCAUACUAAUUCUUUAUGGAAGAUGAGGGAUCUUUGCAAUAUAUAUUAUAUGUAACUCUGUAAAGAUGCAUAUGCAUGCAAGUAUUGUUUCUGAUAUAAUUUAUGAACUGUAAUAUUAAAACCAGCAUGAGAAAUCAUGAUUUUUAGUUCAGAAAUCAUGAUUUUUAGUUCAGAAAUAUUGCCUCAAAUUUCUUACAAACUUCAUAUUGCAGUGUUAUGUUUCUGUAUUUCCAAUUGAUUUGAUAUUUCUGCACAAUUAAAAGCAGAAUUUCCUGGCUUUGUGUUUCUUUUUAUCCUCUUUUGUAGGCGGAUGCUGAUUUAGUUUGAAAAACUUUUCAAAAUUAACACACUUUGUGAAAUUUUGCAGGUAAUUCACUU
rnacentral:lncRNA from 1 species